GGAGAAUGUUGCCUUCAUGGGAUGGUGGCUCAUGCUGGUGUGGUAAUCCAGUGCAGCUGUUUUGGAGCACUGUGUGGACUGCGGCGUUGAAGAAGGCGUGCGCACUCAGCGGGACUUCUUCCUUCCAGUCGCUCUACAGGGCGCACGGCAAACUCAUCACCUGGAGCCAACGGUGGCUGCCAGUCACACCGCACGUGCUCAGCGGUGCGUGCUCACGAGCGGCUGCCCUUCCUCGACCGCGGCCUCAGAUCCAGAGGCUUCGCCGGAUUUGGCUGCUCCCUUCGCUUACUUGCAGGGAGGUCAAGAGGAUGUUACAGUGUCCUAGAUUCUUAGCUUAACUUUAAUUUCAUAAUGAAGCUCUAUUUGUUAGCAAGACCUCACUGGUGAAACUCACCUUAUUUGAGGUAAAAAUGCUCUUUCGUUUUGAUAUACCUGACAGUUCCACGCUUCCUUAUGGUAUUUCUCAGUUUGUGAAUAAACCUUUGCCAAAACUACAUCUAAUGGCUGGAGAGCACAAUACUAUCCCAGUACACAGUGUGCAGUGGGAUUCUUUACUGCAGUCCCUACACCCGUAUCUGGAGGGGGGAUGCCUAGCACCCAACACCGAAACCAGACAACAACCAUUGGUUGCCCGAUGGUCCAUUAAGAAUUCUACUCCUAUGAGGAAACAAACCCAGUAAACACAUUCUUAUUGAGGGAGACAGUGAAAUUGCAAUUGAAUAAAUUAAGUUUCUUGUAAGAGAGAAGAAUUUGUUAUAUGCAUUGCAUAUGUGUAUAGGGAAUUGAAUUCUAAACACCUGCCAGUUGCUGUGAUAGAGACACUGAUCAAUCAGAGCUGUUGCUGGCUUGUUCCCUGCUAUGAUCAGACUGGGCUUUGGGGACUCAGUAUUCCCUACAGGGACAUAUGACUAAGAUAUCAAAAGCUUAUGCCAAAAUACUUUAGAAUACAAAAGUGGAAACAAUGUCUAAUUACAAUUUCCAUGAAACAUUUGAAAAACUCCAUUUUAUUCAAUAAAUAA
rnacentral:lncRNA from 1 species